GAUGAACGCUGGCGGCGUGCCUAAUACAUGCAAGUCGAGCGAACAGACGAGGAGCUUGCUCCUCUGACGUUAGCGGCGGACGGGUGAGUAACACGUGGAUAACCUACCUAUAAGACUGGGAUAACUUCGGGAAACCGGAGCUAAUACCGGAUAAUAUAUUGAACCGCAUGGUUCAAUAGUGAAAGACGGUUUUGCUGUCACUUAUAGAUGGAUCCGCGCCGCAUUAGCUAGUUGGUAAGGUAACGGCUUACCAAGGCAACGACGCGUAGCCGACCUGAGAGGGGGAUCGGCCACACUGGAACUGAGACACGGUCCAGACUCCUACGGGAGGCAGCAGUAGGGAAUCUUCCGCAAUGGGCGAAAGCCUGACGGAGCAACGCCGCGUGAGUGAUGAAGGUCUUCGGAUCGUAAAACUCUGUUAUUAGGGAAGAACAAAUGUGUAAGUAACUAUGCACGUCUUGACGGUACCUAAUCAGAAAGCCACGGCUAACUACGUG
rnacentral:rRNA from 1 species